rnacentral:misc_RNA from 1 species
GAAAUCUUAUAACAGCCGCCUUCAAGACAGCUAGCGAGAGAGAUGAAUUGAUAGCUCAAUAUAUAUUUGCCUGGGGUCAUUUGUAUUUGUUUCCGACGUGACAUUCAGGAGAGUUCCGACAGAAAAAAGCUGUCAAACGAGCAAGAUUUAAGCUAGUGACAAGCAAGCAAGGAGCCACAUCAGAGAGGAAAGUCCACCGUGAAAAAGACGGAAUAGACAGCUUGCUAUUAACAACGCUUUACGCACUUUGAUCAAGGAGUUGUCCGUCUAGUUCUGCUUGUCCGCAAAAAAACUCAACGUAAAGAGGUAGCCGCGAAGAUUGCUCGCAGCACUUCAAGACCGGCCUAAC